rnacentral:rRNA from 1 species
CUGGCGGCGUGCAUAACACAUUCAAGUCGAACGGGCAGUAGUCCUCGGGGGUGCUGCUAGUGGCGGACGGGUGAGUAACGCGUGAGCAACCUGCCUCUGUGAGUGGAAUAACACAGGGAAACUUGUGCUAAUACCGCAUGACGAAGCGAAGCCGCAUGACUUUGCUUCCAAAGAUUUAUCGCACAGAGAUGGGCUCGCGUCCGAUUAGGCAGUUGGUGAGGUAACGGCUCACCAAACCGACGAUCGGUAGCCGGACUGAGAGGUUGAACGGCCACAUUGGAACUGAGAUACGGUCCAGACUCCUACGGGAGGCAGCAGUGGGGAAUAUUGGGCAAUGGGGCCGCAAGCCUGACCCAGCGACGCCGCGUGAGGGAAGAAGGUCUUCGGAUUGUAAACCUCUUUGACAGGGGACGAAGUAAGUGACGGUACCCUGAAAACAAGCCACGGCUAACUACGUGCCAGCCGCGGC